rnacentral:rRNA from 1 species
UGGGUAGUCCGUACGAGCGCACCCUAUCCUUAGUUGCCAGCGAGUAUGUCGGGAACUCUAGGGAGACUGCCGGUGACAAACCGGAGGAAGGUGGGGACGACGUCAAGUCAUCAUGGCCCUUAUGGGCAGGGCUACACACGUGCUACAAUGGCCGGCACAGAGGGCUGCGAAGUCGCAAGGCGGAGCGAAUCUCAGAAAACCGGUCGUAGUCCGGAUUGCAGUCUGCAACUCGACUGCAUGAAGUUGGAAUCGCUAGUAAUCGCGGAUAAGAAUGCCGCGGUGAAUACGUUCCCGGGCCUUGUACACACCGCCCGUCACACCAUGGGAGUGGGCUGUACCAGAAGUAGGUAGUCUAACCUUCGGGGGGACGCUUACCACGGUGUGGUUCAUGACUGGGGUGAAGUCGUAACAAGGUAGCCCUAGGGGAACCUGGGGCUGGAUCACCUCCUU